rnacentral:lncRNA from 1 species
UGAACCUAGCCUCAUGACAUCCACGCACCCGGAGGUCGCUUCCUGUGUCGGCCUUCCCCAUCAAUCCCCUAACCCGUGUCGGGCCCAUUUCCUUUGGUGCAAGGUUCCACAGACCCGGGCUCUGCCGUUCUGUGGCCACGCAUGCCACCACGUGCGACAUCCAGCAGGGGAACUCCGUUCCAAGAACAAUGGGGCGACCGCUCACGUCUAGGUUCAUUCUGGUACUAGGCUUCCUCAUCCCAUACUAAGUAUGAGGCUAGUACUUUCAAACACUUGAUCACGAACACCACCACUGUCGGGCCUUAGCAAGUUUUCAAAGAUAGAUGGGGCAACCAUCCGUCCAC